rnacentral:rRNA from 1 species
CACGUAGGGUCCAAGCGUUGUUCGGAUUCAUUGGGCGUAAAGGGUGCGUAGGCGGGUCUUUAAGUCAGGGGUGAAAUCCUGGAGCUCAACUCCAGAACUGCCUUUGAUACUGAAGAUCUUGAGUUCGGGAGAGGUGAGUGGAACUGCGAGUGUAGAGGUGAAAUUCGUAGAUAUUCGCAAGAACACCAGUGGCGAAGGCGGCUCACUGGCCCGAUACUGACGCUGAGGUGCGAAAGCGUGGGGAGCAAACAGG